UACAGAGGUCCCAAGCGUUGUUCGGAUUUACUGGGCGUAAAGAGCGCGCAGGCGGUCGAUUAAGUCGAAUGUGAAAGCCCCCGGCUCAACUGGGGAGGGUCAUUCGAUACUGAUCGACUUGAAGGCAGGAGAGAGAAGUGGAAUUCCCGGUGUAGUGGUGAAAUGCGUAGAUAUCGGGAGGAACACCAGUGGCGAAGGCGACUUCUUGGCCUGUUCUUGACGCUGAGGCGCGAAAGCUGGGGGAGCAAACGGG
rnacentral:rRNA from 1 species